AUUGAACGCUGGCGGCAGGCUUAACACAUGCAAGUCGAGCGGUAACAGAGAGAAGCUUGCUUCUCUGCUGACGAGCGGCGGACGGGUGAGUAAUGCCUAGGAAUCUGCCUAGUAGCGGGGGAUAACUUGCCGAAAGGUAAGCUAAUACCGCAUACGUCCUACGGGAGAAAGGAGGGGACCUUCGGGCCUUUCGCUAUUAGAUGAGCCUAGGUCGGAUUAGUUAGUUGGUGAGGUAAUUGCUCACCAAGACCGCGAUCCGUAACUGGUCUGAGAGGAUGACCAGUCACACGGGAACUGAGAAACGUGCCAGACUCCUACGGGAGGCAGCAGUGGGGAAUAUUGGACAAUGGGGGGAACCCUGAUCCAGCCAUGCCGCGUGUGUGAAGAAGGUCUUAGGAUUGUAAAGCACUUUAAGUUGGGAGGAAGAGCAGUUAACUAAUAUUUGACUGUUUUGACGUUACCGACAGAAUAAGCACCGGCUAACUUCGUGCCAGCCGCCGCCGUAA
rnacentral:rRNA from 1 species